UCAGAGAUUUGCAUGGUUCUGUCUUUGA
rnacentral:piRNA from 1 species